rnacentral:rRNA from 1 species
UACGGAGGGUGCAAGCGUUAUCCGGAUUCACUGGGCUUAAAGGGUGCGUAGGUGGUCUGUUAAGUCAGCGGUGAAAGCCUGGAGCUCAACUCCAGAAUUGCCAUUGAUACUGACGGACUUGAAUCAAGUUGAGGUGGAUGGAAUAUUACAUGUAGCGGUGAAAUGCUUAGAUAUGUAAUAGAACACCAAUUGCGAAGGCAGUUCACUAAGCUUGUAUUGACACUGAGGCACGAAAGCGUGGGGAUCAAACAGG